GUAUUUAUAGUUUAACCAAAACAUUAGAUUGUGGUUCUAAAGAUAAAAGUUAAAACCUUUUUAAUUACC
rnacentral:tRNA from 1 species